rnacentral:rRNA from 1 species
CCUACGGGUGGCUGCAGUAGGGAAUAUUGCGCAAUGGGCGAAAGCCUGACGCAGCAAUUCCGCGUGGAGGAUGAAGUUUCUUGGAACGUAAACUCCUUUCGGUGGUGAAGAUAAUGACGGUAGCCACAGAAGAAGCACCGGCUAACUACGUGCCAGCAGCCGCGGUAAGACGUAGGGUGCAAGCGUUGUCCGGAUUUAUUGGGCGUAAAGAGUUCGUAGGCGGUUUGCCAAGUCUGACGUUAAAUACUGGAGCUCAACUCCAGCAUGGCAUCGGA